rnacentral:rRNA from 1 species
AUUGAACGCUGGCGGCAUGCUUUACACAUGCAAGUCGAACGGCAGCGCGUGCUUCGGCCUGUCGGCGAGUGGCUAACGGGUGAGUAAUUCAUCGGAACGUGCCCAGUCGUGGGGGCUAGCCCGGCGAAAGCCGGAUUAAUCCCGCAUACGAUCUGAGGUUUCACGCCGGGGACCUAAAUGCCUCGCGCUUUUGUAGCUUCCGAUGUCGGAUUGGCUAGUUGGUGGGGUAAAGGCUUACCAAGGCGACGAUCCGUAGCUGGUCUGAGAGGACGACCAGCCACACUGGGACUGAGACACGGCCCAGACUCCUACGAGAGGCAGCAGUGGGGAAUGUUGGACAAUGGGGGCAACCCUGAUCCAGCGAUGCCGCGUGCGGGAAGAAGGCCUUCGGGUUGUAAACCGCUUUUGUGCGGGAAGAAAUCCUUUGGGCUAAUAACCAGGGGGGAUGACGGUACCGGAAGAAUAAGCACCGGCUAACUACGUG